UGUUCGCCCGGGUACUACGAGCCCCAGCUUAAAACCCAAAGGACUUGGCGGUGCUUAAGAUCCACCUAGAGGAGCCUGUUCUAGAACCGAUAACCCCCGUUCAACCUCACCUUUUUUUGUUAAUUCCGUCUAUAUACCGCCGUCGUCAGCCUACCCUGUGAAGGCCCCACAGUAAGCACAACUGGCACAGCCUAAAACGUCAGGUCGAGGUGUAGCAUAUAAAAAGGAAAGAAAUGGGCUACAUUCUCUAGCCUAGAGCACACGAAAAAUGAAAUGAAAUAAACAUUAGAAGGAGGAUUUAGCAGUAAGGGAGGAACAGAGUGCCCCCCUGAAAUUGGCCCUAAAGCGCGCACACACCGCCCGU
rnacentral:rRNA from 1 species